UACGAAGGGGGCUAGCGUUGCUCGGAAUUACUGGGCGUAAAGGGUGCGCAGGCGGCCGAGUGUGUGAGGCGUGAAAGCCCGGGGCUUAACCCCGGAAUUGCACCUCAAACUACACGGCUAGAGCGAUUGGAGAGGGUAGCAGAAUUCAUGGUGUAGCAGUGAAAUGCGUAGAUAUCAUGAGGAAUACCAGAGGCGAAGGCGGCUACCUGGACAAUUGCUGACGCUCAGGCACGAAGCGUGGGAGCAAACAGG
rnacentral:rRNA from 1 species